rnacentral:tRNA from 1 species
GUNCCUGUAGCUUAANCNAAAGCAUGGCACUGAAGAUGCCAAGAUGGACCCCUUUUCCCAAGGAC